rnacentral:rRNA from 1 species
UACGUAGGUGGCAAGCGUUGUCCGGAUUUACUGGGCGUAAAGAGCGCGCAGGCGGUCGUUCAAGUCGCGUGUGAAAGCCCCCGGCUCAACUGGGGAGGGUCACGCGAUACUGAUCGACUCGAAGGCAGGAGAGGGAAGUGGAAUUCCCGGUGUAGCGGUGAAAUGCGUAGAGAUCAGGAAGAACAUCGGUGGCGAAGGCGCUCUGCUGGACCAUAACUGACACUCAGGGACGAAAGCUAGGGGAGCGAAUGGG